rnacentral:rRNA from 1 species
CGCGGACCCCAGACAGGCGGGAUUACCCGCUGAAUUUAAGCAUAUCAAUAAGCGGG